ACCGACAAAUCUACAAUAACUGUCAAAAAACAUAAACAUUACAAGCAACUUCAAAGUCAUUAUGCACUCCCUCCCUCAUAAGCUCAAUAUUAACAACAUUGGUAGACUUGCACUUAAGCACAAAAUUGGCUCCAAAUAACACCCAUGUAAGAUGCAUGAAAACCUUUCCUCUUUUACUAAACAUCCAUUAAAAUUUCCUUUUAAUAAAUUAAUAGGUGAUGAUUCCCAUUUAAAAUCUUGGACCUGGUACUCG
rnacentral:lncRNA from 1 species